UAUGUGAUAAAAAAAUAAUAUAUACGGUCGAGUAUUGAAUGAAAAUAAGUGAAUUUCUCGUUUUCUUUUAAUUUUGAAAAAUUCAACAUCAUUCGAUAUUAUCAAACUUUUCUAGUGUAUAUUUACGCUUAAUUAAAUUUUAUUGUUUUGAAGUGUAAUUUUUUUUGUGUACAGUUUUUAGUGUAAUUGAAAAUGUCAAUUGGAGAUCGAGCUUAUAUAAAUCGUCAACUAGGACGUUUACGAACAAUAAAUAUCAACAGUAAAAUACCACAGCUUCAUAAAAAAAAGAUUACGAAAAAUGAUAAGUCCGAAACACACUACAGUAAAAAAUAUGGGUGAUGUUUUACGAGGAUUUUUGAGCCGUGAUGUUGCUUUAAAAUUCGUUCCAGCAAGAUUAUCAUCCAAGGAUGUGACAAAAAAAAUUUUUAAACAUACUAAUUUUUACUCAAGCAUUCAAGAAAUCUUUAGUAAAAAAUUAACUUCCAGUCCUGAAAAUCCACUUGACGACAAAGCAAUUUUGUCAGCGAUGACAACAAUAAUUCAAGGUGCUCGAGAUUGGGAUGGCCAUCGAC